GAAGCAGACCAGACCGCCGCUGGUGCAAUCCGCAAGGCGGCGCGCAAGCGCCGGGCCGAAAGGCCGCACUGGAGGAAGGUCCGGACUGCACAGAGCAGCGUAGCGGGUAACGCCCGUCCACCGCGAGGUGCGGAUCAGAGCCACAGAGACGAGUCGGCGACGGAAGGCGCAAGCCUUCUUGGGAGACGGCAUGCCGCGCUCCGACGUCGCCGGGUGAAACGCGGCAAUCUCUACGCGCAGCAACACCAAAUAGGCCAGCUUUGACGCGGCUCGCUGAGCUGGCGGGUAGGUGGCAUCGAGCCAGGGUGGCAACACCCCGGCCCAGAGGAAUGGCGGUCACACCGUGGCGGCGCAAGCCGGCGCGGUGCACAGAAUCCGGCCUAUCGGUCUGCUUCACUC
rnacentral:RNase_P_RNA from 1 species